GACGAACGCUGGCGGCGUGCUUAACACAUGCAAGUCGAACGGUGAAGGGGCCUGCUUUUGUGGGUCCUGGAUGAGUGGCGAACGGGUGAGUAACACGUGAGUAACCUGCCCCCUUCUUCUGGAUAACCGCAUGAAAGUGUGGCUAAUACGGGAUAUUCUGGGUCUGUCGCAUGGUGGGCCUGGGAAAGAUUGCGCUUUUUUUGGUGUUUUUGGUGGGGGAUGGGCUCGCGGCCUAUCAGCUUGUUGGUGGGGUGAUGGCCUACCAAGGCGGUGACGGGUAGCCGGCCUGAGAGGGUGGACGGUCACACUGGGACUGAGACACGGCCCAGACUCCUACGGGAGGCAGCAGUGGGGAAUAUUGCACAAUGGGCGCAAGCCUGAUGCAGCGACGCCGCGUGAGGGAUGGAGGCCUUCGGGUUGUGAACCUCUUUCGCCAGUGAAGCAGGCCUGCCUCGUUUGUGGGUGGGUAGAACG
rnacentral:rRNA from 1 species